CAAAAGUUGUGCACGCCUGAGCGCGUCCUCUCACAUAACAUCCAUCUCACCCUUUUGUGCACCACCGCGUGGGCACCCUUUGGGAUCGAACCGAUCCGGGAGGGGGCUUGCGUUUUCACACAAACCCCUUUUAAAAAAAGUGUAGAAUGUCCCCAUUUUGCGAUGACACGCAAUCAAUACAACUUUCAACAACGGAUCUCUUGGCUCUCGCAUCGAUGAAGAACGCAGCGAAAUGCGAUACGUAAUGUGAAUUGCAGAAUUCAGUGAAUCAUCGAAUCUUUGAACGCACCUUGCGCCCCUUGGUAUUCCGAGGGGCACACCCGUUUGAGUGUCGUGAAAAUCUCAACCUUCUCGGUUUUCUUCUGGACACUGAAGGAGGCUUGGACUUUGGAGGCCUUUGCUGGCAUCUCUCUCUUUUUGAGAGCCAGCUCCUCUUAAAUGAAUUAGCGGGGUCCUCUUUGCCGAUCCUCGACAUGUGAUAAGAUGUUUCCAUGACUUGGUUUCUGGCUCUGUUGCCUUUGGGACCUGCUUCUAACCGUCUCAAAUGAGACAACGGUUUGGGUGUGUCUCCCUCCUCGGGGAAACACUCUCAACC
rnacentral:rRNA from 1 species